GAUGACGGUCUCAGCCUCCGCCCGACCCCUUCCUGCGCGUCCGCUCUUCCCCUGCGCCCGCCCGCGCCCCUCCGCCCGCGCCCCGGCCCCGCCCCAGGCCUCGCCUCCGCUUCGCUGCCGCCGCCGGGCGCAGCCAGGAGCAGCCGCCGCGCCUGCAGACCGGCCUCGCGGAGCCCGCGCGCCGAGCCCCACAAUGGCUUAUUCAGAAGAGCAUAAAGGUAUGCCCUGUGGUUUCAUCCGCCAGAAUUCCGGCAACUCCAUUUCCUUGGACUUUGAGCCCAAUAUAGAGUACCAGUUUGUGGAGCGGUUGGAAGAGCGCUACAAAUGUGCCUUCUGCCACUCGGUGCUUCACAACCCCCACCAGACAGGAUGUGGGCACCGCUUCUGCCAGCACUGCAUCCUGUCCCUGAGAGAAUUAAACACAGUGCCAAUCUGCCCUGUAGAUAAGGAGGUCAUCAAAUCUCAGGAGGUUUUUAAAGACAAUUGCUGCAAAAGAGAAGUCCUCAACUUAUAUGUAUAUUGCAGCAAUGCUCCUGGAUGUAAUGCCAAGGUUAUUCUGGGCCGGUACCAGGUCCCACUGGCCUGUUGUUAUCUGUUGCAGGAUCACCUUCAGCAGUGCUUAUUUCAAGCUGUGCAGUGUUCUAAUGAGAAGUGCCGGGAACCAGUCCUACGGAAAGACCUGAAAGAGCAUUUGAGUGCAUACUGUCAGUUUCGAGAGGAAAAAUGCCUUUAUUGCAAAAAGGAUGUGGUAGUCAUCAAUCUACAGAAUCAUGAGGAAAACUUGUGUCCUGAAUACCCAGUAUUUUGUCCCAACAAUUGUGCGAAGAUUAUUCUAAAAACUGAGGUGGAUGAACACCUGGCUGUAUGUCCUGAAGCUGAGCAAGACUGUCCUUUUAAGCACUAUG
rnacentral:sRNA from 1 species